UUAUAAAAUCCAUUAUAAAUAUCUUAAUAUUAAAAUAUACUUUAAUUAUUUUAUUUUAUUAUUUAAUGCUAAAGGUAAUCCGGGCAGCUCUCCGGGUUUUGUUAACUGUGUUCUGCGGGUUGUAUCCAAUCAGAUGCGUCGAAAUGUAUCACGUGAUUUGGAAAGCGCUAAUUGUUGGCCCAUUCAGGUGGUUUGUUUGGAUUAAUUGAAGGGAUUUGUUUGUAAAGUGCGGCAGCCUGUUUAAAUGGCAAAUUAUUAUCACGAACUUCGAUUAAAAACAUUAAAAUGGAGCCCAAAACGGAAGAGGAAGGAAGGAAAAACAUUUUUUCAUAUCGUCCUUAUGGUACAUGGACUGGUCAGAUUAUUCACAACUUACCCACAAUCCUCAGCGGCAAAAAACAACAUAAGCACAGCAUCUCUGUCUGGUGAAUAAACCCGCUUGGUGUUGAGUGUAAGAAGUGAUGAAACACAGCUCCAGGAUUCCUGCUGCGAUCCUGAGCUCGGGAGACGGUUUAUUGUCCUCGUGUCUGCGUGGGUUUCCUCAGGGUUUCCUUCACUUUCCAAAACGCAUGCCAUGACCAGAUUAUGCUAAAUUGCUCCAACAGGUGAGUGUGUGAACGUGUGUGUUGGUGCUCGAUGAUGAAGAGGAGAAGGAGGAGUCACCACACUGGUCAGUUAGCUCUAAUCGUUACUCAGAUAAAGCUUUAGUCUGUUCUUCUUUAAAUGAAGACGCGUCAGUCUGACGAUUCAGCGAGGUUUUUUUUUUUAUUAACAUUCACACUUUGUUCAAAAAAUGCAAAAUAAAUACGUAUAUCAUUUCUUUAUCCUGUUCAGUGGACAGCUGUAGCAUAUAAACACAGCACAUGGGGGGAAAAAAAUA